AUUGAACGCUGGCGGCAGGCCUAAUACAUGCAAGUCGAACGAGUGGCGGACGGGUGAGCAAUGUCUGGGAAACUGCCUGACGGCGGGGGAUAACUACUGGAAACGGUAGCUAAUACUGCAUACGACCGGUUGUGCUGAGAUGGGAUGAGCUAGGAGGGGGGGUAACGGCACACCGAGGCGACGAUCCCUAGCUGGUCUGAGAGGAUGACCAGCCACACUGGAACUGAGACACUGUCCAGACUCCGACGGGAGGCAGCAGUGGGGAAUAUUGCACAAUGGGCGCAAGCCUGAUGCAGCAAUGCCGCGUGAAUGAAGAAGGCCUUCGGGUUGUAAAGUACUUUCAGCGAUGAGGCGUUACUCGCAGAGGAAGCAUCGGCUAACUCCGUGCCAGCAGCCGCGGUAAUUC
rnacentral:rRNA from 1 species